AGUGAACGCUGACAGAAUGCUUAACACAUGCAAGUCAACUUGAAUUUGGGUUUUUAACUUAGAUUUGGGUGGCGGACGGGUGAGUAACGCGUAAAGAACUUGCCUCACAGCUAGGGACAACAUUUAGAAAUGAAUGCUAAUACCUGAUAUUAUGAUUUUAAGGCAUCUUAGAAUUAUGAAAGCUAUAUGCACUGUGAGAGAGCUUUGCGUCCCAUUAGUUAGUUGGAGAGGUAACAGCUCACCAAGGCGAUGAUGGGUAGCCGGCCUGAGAGGGUGAACGGCCACAAGGGGACUGAGACACGGCCCUUACUCCUACGGGAGGCAGCAGUGGGGAAUAUUGGACAAUGGACCGAGAGUCUGAUCCAGCAAUUCUGUGUGCACGAUGAAGUUUUUCGGAAUGUAAAGUGCUUUCAGUUGGAAAGAAAGAAAUGACGGUACCAACAGAAGAAGUGACGGCUAAAUACGUGCCAGCAGCCGCGGUAAUACGUAUGUCACGAGCGUUAUCCGGAUUUAUUGGGCGUAAAGCGCGUCUAGGUGGUUAUGUAAGUCUGAUGUGAAAAUGCAGAGCUCAACUCUGUAUUGCGUUGGAAAACUGUAUAACUAGAGUACUGGAGAGGUAAGCGGAACUACAAGUGUAGAGGUGAAAUUCGUAGAUAUUUGUAGGAAUGCCGAUGGGGAAGCCAGCUUACUGGACAGAUACUGACGCUAAAGCGCGAAAGCGUGGGUAGCAAACAGGG
rnacentral:rRNA from 1 species